rnacentral:tRNA from 1 species
GCGGGCGUGGCGAAAUUGGUAGACGCACUAGACUUAGGAUCUAGCGCCGUGAGGUGUGGGAGUUCGAGUCUCCCCGCCCGCACAA